CCUACGGGAGGCAGCAGUGGGGAAUUUUGGACAAUGGGCGCAAGCCUGAUCCAGCAAUGCCGCGUGCAGGAUGAAGGCCUUCGGGUUGUAAACUGCUUUUGUACGGAACGAAACGGUCCGCCCUAAUACGGUGGGCUAAUGACGGUACCGUAAGAAUAAGCACCGGCUAACUACGUGCCAGCAGCCGCGGUAAUACGUAGGGUGCAAGCGUUAAUCGGAAUUACUGGGCGUAAAGCGUGCGCAGGCGGUUAUAUAAGACAGUUGUGAAAUCCCCGGGCUCAACCUGGGACCUGCAUUUGUGACUGUAUAGCUAGAGUACGGUAGAGGGGGAUGGAAUUCCGCGUGUAGCAGUGAAAUGCGUAGAUAUGCGGAGGAACACCGAUGGCGAAGGCAAUCCCCUGGACCUGUACUGACGCUCAUGCACGAAAGCGUGGGGAGCAAACAGGAUUAGAUACCCUGGUAGUCCACGCCCUAAACGAUGUCAACUGGUUGUUGGGUCUUCACUGACUCAGUAACGAAGCUAACGCGUGAAGUUGACCGCCUGAGGAGUACGGCCGCAAGGUUGAAACUCAAAUGAAUUGACCGGNNGAGAGNGCGAGACGACGACGAGGGAGGAGG
rnacentral:rRNA from 1 species